GGGGGUAGAGCACUGGAUGGGCUAGGGGGUCCCACAGACUUACCAAACCUAACCAAACUCCGAAUACCGGUGAGUGCAAUCAUGGCAGACAGACCAUGGGUGCUAAGAUCCGUGGUCGAAAGGGAAACAGCCCAGACCGCCAGCUAAGGUCCCUAAAUCACGUGCUAAGUGGGAAAGGAUGUGGGACGGCCAUGACAACCAGGAGGUUGGCUUAGAAGCAGCCACCCUUUAAAGAGUGCGUAAUAGCUCACUGGUCAAGUGAUUCCGCGCCGACAAUGUAGCGGGGCUCAAGUCAUCCGCCGAAGCUAUGGCAUUCAGC
rnacentral:rRNA from 1 species